rnacentral:misc_RNA from 1 species
AAUGAGUGUUUUAUGGCACUCUUUAAAAAUCCAUAUCCACCUUGUGUGCAAUGUUUGUUGGGAGAGAGGCAACUCUUUCCCUUCACAAAUAUCAACCUAUAUCUUUAACAACAUUCGUCUGAUAACAUAUUAUGAAUAUACUUAAUUCAAAAUAUAACUUUCAACAACGGAUCUCUUGGCUCU